rnacentral:rRNA from 1 species
CGGCGGACGGGUGAGUAACGCGUGGGUAACCUGCCUCAUACAGGGGGAUAACAGUCAGAAAUGACUGCUAAUACCGCAUAAGACCACGGUACCGCAUGGUACAGUGGUAAAAACUCCGGUGGUAUGAGAUGGACCCGCGUCUGAUUAGGUAGUUGGUGGGGUAACGGCCUACCAAGCCGACGAUCAGUAGCCGACCUGAGAGGGUGACCGGCCACAUUGGGACUGAGACACGGCCCAG